UCCUCGAUAAUAUAGAGGUAAGUAUCCCCGCCUGUCACGCGGGAGACCGGAGUUCGAUUCCUCAUCGGGGAG
rfam:Aedes aegypti strain Liverpool supercont1.1317 genomic scaffold, whole genome shotgun sequence.